rnacentral:rRNA from 1 species
GUGCCAGCCGCCGCGGUAAUACGAAGGUGGCAAGCGUUAUUCGGAUUUACUGGGCGUACAGGGAGCGUAGGCGGUUCGGUAAGCCCUCUGUGAAAUCUUCAGGCUUAACCUGGAAAAGUCGGGGGGGACUGCCGGGCUAGAGGACGGGAGAGGAGCGCGGAAUUCCCGGUGUAGCGGUGAAAUGCGUAGAGAUCGGGAGGAAGGCCGGUGGCGAAGGCGGCGCUCUGGAACGUUUCUGACGCUGAGGCUCGAAAGCGUGGGGAGCAAACAGGAUUAGAUACCCUGGUAGUCCACGCCUUAAACUAUGAAUACUAAGUGUCGGCGGUUUACCGCCGGUGCCGCAGCUAACGCAUUAAGUAUUCCGCCUGGGAAGUACGGCCGCAAGGUUGAAACUCAAAUGAAUUGACGGGG